GAUCCUGGCUUAGGAUGAACGCUGGCGGCGUGCCUAACACAUGCAAGUCGAACGGAGAUCUAUAGACAGAGGCUCGGCCAAAGGAAGUUGAUCUAGUGGCGGACGGGUGAGUAACGCGUGGGGAACCUGCCCCAUACCGGGGGAUAACAGAUAGAAAUGUCUGCUAAUACCGCAUAAGCGCACGGGGUCGCAUGACCUUGUGUGAAAAACUCCGGUGGUAUGGGAUGGACCCGCGUUGGAUUAGCCAGUUGGCGGGGUAACGGCCCACCAAAGCGACGAUCCAUAGCCGGCCUGAGAGGGUGAACGGCCACAUUGGGACUGAGACACGGCCCAGACUCCUACGGGAGGCAGCAGUGGGGAAUAUUGCACAAUGGGGGGAACCCUGAUUGCAGUGACGCCGCGUGAAGGAAGAAGUAUCUCGGUAUGUAAACUUCUAUCAGCAGGGAAGAAAAUGACGGUACCUGACUAAGAAGCCCCGGCUAACUACGUGCCAGCAGCCGC
rnacentral:rRNA from 1 species